GUCCGGGCCGGCCGGGGUGCACGGCCGGCCGGGUCGCGACCGGUCGGGAUGCAUGGGCCUCGUUUCGUGGACGGGCCCCGGCC
rnacentral:tRNA from 1 species